CAAGUGGGUGUGAUCCUUAAACUUGAUUUUGAAAAGGCCUAUGACAAAGUUAAUUGGGAUUUUUUGCUUGACUGCCAUGAGAAGCGUGGGUUUAACUCUAAGUGGUGUGGGUGGGUCUCUCAAAUCCUUAAGAACGGCACGGUGAGUGUCAAGAUUAACGAUGAGAUCGGCCCUUAUAUACAAAGUGCUAAGGGGGUACGGCAGGGUGACCCUCAUUCCCCCUUUCUAUUCAAUAUGGCGGCUGAAUGUCUGACUAAAAUGGUGCUUUCAGCACAAAAAACGGCCUCAUUAAGGGUUUGGCGGCUGACCUUAUUGACGGAGGUGUUGGUAUCCUCCAAUAUGCGGAUGAUACGGUGGUAUGUUUUGAACAUG
rnacentral:rRNA from 1 species